GUAAUGAGUUGAGUUUUUAAUUUAAUUUAGGAAAAUGCUCAAAAACAUAAAUAAAAAACAGUACAUAAAUCAUAGAAAUUACCUAACAAAUUAGUCAUUUCUCUCCAAGUAAUUUUCUCUCUGUAAAUGAGCGUUUGCCAAUGGUGGUAGAUGCAGUGGUCAACAGGUCGGGGCUACAGUAGGCGCGAUUGUCGGUGAUGACGGGUGGAGAUUUGUGGUUUUCUGGGCGAUGCGACUGGCUGGUUUCGUGCCACCAUGAGAGAGAGAUAGAGAGAGAGAGAGAGAGAGAGAGAGAGAAAGGGUCAUGAAAAGGAUGGGUUUCAUUGCCGGCGGGUGAGGGGCAAUAGUCGUGUGGCUGGCGGGUGGGGGGCAACGAUAGUGAGAGAGAGGGGGUGUCGUGAGAGGAAGAGCUGAGAGGGAGAGAGUUGGUGGGGGGGGGGGGAACAGUGGGCUGGUUUGGGAAAGCAGAAAGUGGAAAGUGAAUUGUAAAAAAAUAUUAAAAAAUUAUAUAGGUAGCCAACAGGUAGCCUGGAGGGGGAAUAUAGCAUUUCUCAUGACCAAAUGGGGUUGGCUCCAACGAGAAGAGGGAGAAAAAUCUUUGCUAGCAAACCCUUGUGAUGGUUGUUAGUGCCCCUGUUAGCUGUCUAAGACCAUUUCCAACACGGAAGAAACAUCCUCCCUAAGACAAAAUUUGGGGAGCAUUUCAAAAUUUUUUUGCUCCACCGCAGCUCUCUACCUGUCAAGUCACUGCUCAGAUUUUUGUGGAGCUUGAAAUCCCUCCCUACUGUUGAGGAGCCAUAUUUUGCUCCCUACAUUUCUCAACAGCUCUAUUUUGUUUCUCAAAUUUGAAGCUCAGUGAUCUGUGUUGAAUAUCAGAUUUGAAGAAGAGUAGUAGCAGCCGAGAAAGCCACCAAUAGUGGCGGCAGUGAGGAGCGACGACGGUGACGGUGGUGGCGCAAGAAAGAAGGAGCAGCGGUAGUUCACGGAGAAGAAAAAGCCACCGACAGAGUGAGGAGAAGAAGACGCAAUAGCUACAGCGAGUGGAGAAGACGAAGCAGCUUUUUCUUUCUUCUGGGCCAUCUUCAACGCAUAGCAGUUUGACCAAUUAGCUUUUGCUCGCCAUGGAGAGAGAUAAUGAACCAUACUACACAAAUUUGUUGAAUGACGACCUCCAUAUUUAUGACGAGUAUGCGAAUGUCACUACCACUCCAUCCCAACCUAAUGCAUUCGAUCUCAACACUCAAAGAAAGCCACAAACAAGAAAUUUCUCAACACAAGAGGAUUUAAUACUCGUGUCAACAUGGCUAAAUAUUAGUAUGGAUGUUACACACGGUAAUGAUCAAACAAAACAAAGGUAUUGGGAAAGGAUUCAUGCUUAUUUCAAUCAAUAUAAAGAGUUUGAAUCUAAUCGAAAUUUCAAUUCACUGAUGCAUCGUUGGUCUACAAUUCAACUUGCUGUGAGCAAAUUCUCUGGAUACUAUAACCAAAUAGAUGGCAGAAAUCAAAGCGGAACAACAUAACAAAAUAAGAUUUCUGAAGCAGUAGAAAUGUACAAGAGCUUACAAAAAUCUUAUUUCACAUUUCUACAUUGCUGGCAUGAGUUGCGACAUGCACUCAAGUUCGCCUCGGGUUAUUCGAAGAAGAAAUAAAAAAUUUCUGAACAUGCAAGUCCUGCAACAUCAUCGCCGUCUACUCCUGAUUCAUUGAACUUGUCUGAUUUUGAUAUUCGAAUCAAUGAGCCUUCAUUGGAACGACCAAUGGGAAGAAAUGCUUCAAAAGAACGUGGACAAAAAAAAAAAUCUAAGGUAACAAAAGUUUCUAUUGAUUCAAUUACAAAAAUGUUGACGGAAAUUACUGAAAAGCGAACGCAGUCCAAAAUGUUAUUACUUGAACAAUCGAAUGAGAUGUUAAAGCUAGAAAGAGAAAGAUUGGAAAUAGAAAAAAAAAAAAGAGAAGAUCGAGAAACAAAAAAGGAAGAGCGAGAACAACUGCUUUAUGAAGAAAGAAUUAUGGGCGUUGAUACUAGUAAUAUGGGAAUUUCAAGCUGAUUAUUACAACGAGCUCAAAUUCAUUACAAAAAAAACUGGCAUUUAGCGGCGUUUUUUUUGCAUUUAGCGGUGGUUUUGACCAACCGCUAG